CAAUGGGGGAAACCCUGACGCAGCGACGCCGCGUGCGGGAUGAAGGCCUUCGGGUUGUAAACCGCUUUCACCAGGGACGAAGCGAGAGUGACGGUACCUGGGGAAGAAGCGCCGGCUAACUACGUGCCAGCAGCCGCGGUAAUACGUAGGGCGCAAGCGUUGUCCGGAAUUAUUGGGCGUAAAGAGCUCGUAGGCGGCCUGUCGCGUCUGCUGUGAAAUCCUGGGGCUUAACCCCGGGCGUGCAGUGGAUACGGGCUGGCUGGAGGCAGGCAGGGGAGAACGGAAUUCCCGGUGUAGCGGUGAAAUGCGCAGAUAUCGGGAGGAACACCGGUGGCGAAGGCGGUUCUCUGGGCCUGUUCUGACGCUGAGGAGCGAAAGCGUGGGGAGCGAACAGGAUUAGAUACCCUGGUAGUCCACGCCGUAAACGUUGGGCGCUAGGUGUGGGUCCCUUCCACGGGGUCUGUGCCGCAGCUAACGCAUUAAGCGCCCCGCCUGGGGAGUACG
rnacentral:rRNA from 1 species